rnacentral:rRNA from 1 species
ACGAAGGGUGCAAGCGUUACUCGGAAUUACUGGGCGUAAAGCGUGCGUAGGCGGUCUGUUAAGUCUGAUGUGAAAUCCCCGGGCUCAACCUGGGACCUGCAUUGGAUACUGGCGGGCUAGAGUACGGUAGAGGGUGGUGGAAUUCCCGGUGUAGCAGUGAAAUGCGUAGAGAUCGGGAGGAACACUCGUGGCGAAGGCGGCCACCUGGACCAGUACUGACGCUGAGGCACGAAAGCGUGGGGAGCAAACAGGAUUAGAUACCCUGGUAGUCCACGCCCUAAACGAUGCGAACUGGAUGUUGGGCUCACUUCGGAGCUCAGUAUCGAAGCUAACGCGUUAAGUUCGCCGCCUGGGGAGUACGGUCGCAAGACUG